CUCUUGGUGUGGUGGUGGAGUGGUGGGUGCACGACUUCACCCACUAGGAUUCAAGUCCUGAUGCUCACAAUUAUAUUGUAGGGGUCUCCCUUACGGUCUUUAUAUAAAAGAAAGUUCUUUUUAAAAAAAAAUCUUUAAAAGUAUAAAGUAGUCAAGUUCGUUCUGGGUGUGAGUGGCAAUAUUGCCGCUGUAGUUUAAUCACAAUAUUUUGUUGAAAUCUAGAUAGUAUUUCGCAUUGCAAAGAUUGGACCAUAAAGAAGAUGUCUUACACUAGUGUUCAUUGUAAUUGUUAGUUAUACGAGUUACUUUAUAAUUUUUUGGAUCUAUGAUCUUAAGCGUUGUUCCUCAAUGUUUUUCAAGUUUAAAUAAAGUAUAAUUCUAAAAGAAACUGUUCUGCAACUGUUCUACAAAAAUCUUAAAAAAUAAAAAAGAUGGCAGUCCUCUUGAACAAAUAUCGAG
rnacentral:lncRNA from 1 species